GAGAAAUAUGUUUCCUUUAAAAGGAUGUAGGUGUGGCUACUGCAGUGUAGCAAGGAGAUUAAAAAAAAAUCCUGCUGUUGUGUUGUGUUUGAAGUAUUAAUUAGAGUCUGGCGUCAAGUUUGAAUGAUAACUAUUACUUUCUUCACACAGAUUUUCUAAGCUUGAGAGACCAGUUUUCAAAAGCUCUCUAGCAAAGCUAUUAUCUUACCAGCAUCACUUUGUCAGAAGAAUCUGUGAAAGGUUCAUCAGAAACACUGAGGAGAAUAGAUUCUCUCCAGCAUCAGUCUGUGUUGGGUAAAGCAUCAAGCUUGUUGAACCAUGCAGACCAAGCAGAAGAGAUCCUGUGAUAGAAGGUCCAAUUCAAAUCUUGUUUCCCUUCAGAAGGAGAGUGCCCAGCCUAGCCAUUUGAUUCAGCAUUUUCUAGAUCUUAUUCGACACACAGCAGUAGCUUCAGCUGGAAGAAUGAAGACACUUCUCACCUCAGAAAAACCUGCAGGCUUGUGGUUUCAGUCUUCCAUUGACAGGUAAGAUAUUAAUCUCCAGAGGCUGGAAACUCCUGUCUUCUGUAUCCUUCUUCAACUCUUCAACUACCAGUUAAGCAAAGCCACUAUCACCAACUCUGCUACACAUUCCAUGGUGUUCAGCAGAGAGAAGCUGUGAGCACAAGGAGCCUGCUGAGGGUUCAGAUGUGAUCAAAGCUGCUCUGCAGUCUCAAGGCUGAGGUUUUUACAGGCAUAACAAAACCAGACCUUUGGGGUACCACUUCAUUAUCUACACAGCUGAAGGGAAAGAAACGAGUAAUAUGGUGCUCUCAACCUUCAGGAAAACAAAUUAAAACAAAACAAAACAGAACAAAACAGGAAAAUAGCAAAAUGCUGGUUAUUACAUAAAAACAAACAAAACCAACCAAAUAACCAACCACCCCCCAACCCCGAAAAAAACCCAACAACAAAAAGAAAAAGAAGAAAACCCCACACCUCCAAAACAGUUCUGGGAAUUAUUGAAUCCAAAGGUACCUUACCCUCUUUUCUCACCUCUUUCUAUAUUUUCUUACCUAAUUUCCUUUCCUCAGAUGAAGUUUUGUCAUUUUGACUUAAUCUCAAAAUGUUUUUUCAACUUUUUGAAAUGACAGAACAGAAAAAACCAAAACAGUGCUCUAUUGAUAUAACUUAAAAUGAUGCUUCACUACUGAGCUGGGUUAAUUUACAGAAUUUUCCUCCAAAAUUUCUAAGUGCUGACAUGGCAUCAAUGUCUUCAUUCAUCACAAUGAGAACUUGCUUGUUGAGGGGUUUUGUAUGGGUGGGUGGGGGAUUGUUUGGGUUUUGGUGGUUUUUUCCCAGUUGUUUUGUUUUAACCAAGCAGCUUCUUCCAAAAGAUUUUUUUUUACUUUCCAAAAAGUUUUAUUUACAAUGCUACUUAAGUUGUAAAAUAAGAGUAUCCUGGUAAAAAUGUUAUUUGCACAGAUCUGAGUUCAUAGCUAAGAAAGACCUUGGAACUUCUAUGAAAAAACUAAAGUAAUACUAUGCAU
rnacentral:lncRNA from 1 species